UUUAUCACCAGUUUGCCUUGUCAGGAUGGAUUUCAUAUAGGUAGCGUAUCGUGCUCUUUUGCUGUUGAUUUCGAAACUGGAAAAUAUUCGCUUUUUUUAUCUGAAUUCUCAUCUUUCAACCGCCUCAUCUUUACUUGAGUAAUACGUCUGUGUUCUAAGGGACCAUUUGUGUUUAAGUGUGACAGUAUGACUAUAUAGGCUUUUUAUACGUUUAAAAACGGUCUGUAAAAUUAUCUUUCGGGACCUAAAGUGUUAAUUUCCCCCCCUCCGUUGGCCAUAGAAGAGAACGCUGCGUGGGCUGCAAGAUCAUUUGAGAGUGCAUUUUGUUUCUCCUCCAAUCCGCUACACAGAGCUCAAUCCCGAUAUGCCCAAUGGGGAGAAGGGGUGGCUCUAACGAAUUUGAAUGAAGAGAGUAUCUUUCGGCGCCAUUUUCGAGUUAGCUGCGUUUGCUUCAACAGCUGUGAGGAGCGGCUGCUGAGAGUAGGCAAGUCAAGCGCUGGAGCUGUCGAAAGAGAAGAUAAUUAUUUCCAGACACUCAAAAAAUAUCACAAACAUAUAAAAAUUAUCCCGGAAAAAGAACACCGAUGGAUGGUGGACGAGUUAAAGGAAAAUAAGUGAAAGAGUACGUCGUAUGGACCGGUGGAGACGUUAGAUGGUUAGCUAGUGAAUGCUAGCGAGAAGAAAGGGGUGUCUGACUUGGCUACCUUGAGAAAUGCAACAUUUAGAAAUACAUUUGCGACAAAUUAGUGGACCUUUCUAAAAAUAAUUUAAAAAAUUGAGAAAUUAUUUCAGGGUCAAGUGAGUGGAGUAUGACCGGUACAAUGUGGUUUUUUUACAAUUAUAGUCCUUUUUGUAACGUUCAGUUUGAGCGGGAGGCACUGAACAGACUGUCGGCACGGCUGUCAACAACAAAUGCACAGCAAAGCUGUAGCUUGAUAUCUCUACCUUUCGAAAACGAUACAAUGAUUUAAAUACUUUAAAGUUUGUAAGGCUGGGGAUACCGUUUCAUAUGUUAUUCAUUUUUUUCUAUUUUUGAGGAAUUUAAGUGUAAGUAGUCACUUACCUACUCAUUUGAUCAUGUUUUCUAGUUAAGUUAACGUUAGUGGAUUCGCCUGAUGGAAAGCUUUUCACAACCUCUUAUGUGCUGUGUUGGAGUGAGAACGGCCCUACUGUAACAGACCCGCCUGACCGUGAAUGGGGAGAUAGAUUGGUGCUCGGAGUUCACUCGCAAGUCUCCAUUAGUGGAGUCGCGUGAAAUGAACAAACUGUGUUUGACUGUGUGUAGGCUUGGUUUGUGAGUGUGUCUCUUCUCUGACAUUGGUGUUGUGCAGAGGGAACCCCAGUCAGUCAGUUAGCUCUGCGGUCACUCUGCCUGCCUUGUUCUCUACUGGGCAUGUGUUGUGUGUUGGACAAGUGGGAACGGGCUGCUGAAGUUUUUGCAGGAUUAACACCCACAACUGCAUGACUGGUGUUUCUAUGGCUUAGAAGGGUUCCUAUUUAUAGAUGUCAGGCCUGGUGUAAAUUACUAUAAACAAUAAACUGAACCUCUACCUCCCUGCCUGCACACACCCCUGUCCAAAACAGUUACCUCUGGCUAGUUACUCACCACAUUAAACUCUACUAUUUUAGGGUGAAAUUAACUCUCUAAAAGACAUGAAUACACCCAAACCAAGUGUGGAAUGGUCACCUUUAAGUCCCUAACCAUUCUAGAUGAAUGCUGAGAAUUUUGGUUUAAUGUGACUGGAUUUUGGUAGUUUGGUUCUGUUAAUAGUGAUUUAUAUUUUGUUCAAUUUAUUGUAAUGAUUUUAUUAAAAUUGCAGUGUCACGUGUGUGGGAGAGGGAUAGUAAGAAAUGUGUUUGUAGGUUGUGUCAUUGAAGUAUAAUUCAAAUGUAGGCCUAUAUUAUAUUUUAGAAAGUGAUUGCCACCUUUAAAAAAUCAAACAUUCUUAGAUAAUGGACAAGAACAUCCCUCCAUACACAAGUACCCAGUUCUUCCAACUUCAGUCUAGUUACACCAUGUAGUUACACCAUGUCAUGGUGUAACUAGACUAAAGUUGGAAGUACAUCUGGGUUAUUGUGUAUGGAGGGAUGUCCUUGAAAAUAAAGCCAUAGCUAAGGAAAUUGCCCUAUUAUGUUAAGUUUGACUUAUUUUCUUUUUAAAAAAAAUAUAGAUUUAUCUAGUGUGCCAUUUUAGUUGUAUGUGAAGUUGCAUGGGACUGCUUUCAAACCUAAAAUCCUUUCCCAGAAUGUAAUAUCAGGCUUCUAUAACUUGUUCAGUAAUUUGAAAUGUAUUUGCAUUUUUGGUACUAGUUGUUGUCUAAACUGAAUUAUGAUAUGACUGCUUUUUAUAUUUGACAGCAUUGUGCAUACAAUCCUCAUAACCUACUUAAAAUAAUCAAAGAAAAAUGAUAACUUUUCCCUCAACUAAAGUCUGGAUGUAUCAACCCUAUCAAAUUAAUUAUUUAAAUGACUGAACCAUUCUACCAUUGAAUAACAAUAAAGCAACAUUUGAACAUUUACAUAAAACAAUUGUCAGUACAGUUGAGAAACUUCUUAGAAAUGUCCAUAUAGCCUACACAACAUAUACGCACAUAGCAGAACAGACUUUUGUGUUACAAAUGAGGCUAAACUAAGUUUGCUCUUGACAAGAGAAUGGUUUGUGAUGGGGGGGUCUAGAGCAUCCUGCCCCUGUGGAAGGGGGUCACUCGACCUUUGCCCCCAGGGUCAGGUCACUCUGAGAAGAUUAUUCAGGGUGCGAGCCAUAGGAACGGGUUAAAAGGCUGAGGAGCAGAGGCGACAAUGGGAGAGAGCAGGGAAAGGUUAAAGCCAUAAUGGUGUGUGUAUGGAUAUUGGGUUGUAGUGACACCUGGUCAGAGCUCCUCUUGGCCCACUGACGCAGUCUGAGGCCUCAUUCACUCACCUGGUUCGUGAGUUAAUUUAUGAUUUUUCAUAAAGGUAAAGCGGGAGCGAGAGAGACCCAGAGAGGGACUGUCUCAAGGAGUGGUGUGUGUGUGUGUGCGCACAAGUGUAUUAUUUUUCUUUAGAUCAAAUCGGGUUCGAUUUAUUUUUCAAUCAACCGGGGGAGUGGGAAUGCAAUUUAAUUAGAAAAAUAUGACAUGCCUGACUUGAAAUGUAAUCAACUGAUAUGAAGUAAGUCUGUAUACUGUAGUUGCUGGUAUGAAAAGUGGGUUAAAGUGGUACAGAUUGUUUAAUUCUUUAUUACAAUGUACAUGAGUCGGAAGCAUUAAUAUUAUUCAGGCAAUAAUUAACACUUCUCGUGUUAGUGACCAGAAUACACCUUUGCUACCGCAGACCUUCAAUUGAAAAAUUAUAUGGAUUUUCACUUUUAAUUAGUGUUCUAGAUAAACCACUAUAAAACUUGGACCUUAUUUUUCUAGUUUUCUUGUCAGCAUCAUGAAAUAUAGGCCAGUUGCAAUUGAGGCCCCCAUUUUAAAACCUCUUUUGAAAAGGGGGCAUAUUUAAGUGACCUCCUAUCUAGAAGUCAUUUGUGGUUUGCUUUGCUGCACAUUUAGUUGUCAGUGGCUUUUUAACUAAUUAUCUGAGAGAAUUUGUAUUCAGUAUGAGGGAAACGGAAAUCUAUUAAUCAUUAGUUUUCUUGCGUGUCUUUUGACCCACCUUGUCCAAAUUAAUAUUUGUGCCUCAGAGAGGGAGAGUGUGUAUUUGUAUCCCUCGCUCACACUCUGUCCUGGUUAAGUACUUUCUGUUCUAUGAACACUUAGCAGAACACAAUGGAGCAGGCAUUAUCUUUGUAACCCAAAAGUACUCAGCCACAGAACACCUGGGAUACUGCCAUCAAUGAUCAACACUAUCCCCUGGUCAUGUAGAUUUUGUGUAUCAUACUUACCAUGGAGUCUUGUACCAGUGAAAAGGCUUCAAGUUGAGGCUCACCAAAAUCUAAAAACUGAAAUGGUAAAAAAUAUGAAAUACUGAAAAGAUUGUGUUAGGAGGCCAUAGGAUGCAAUGAUCUGAAAUUCGAAUAAAUUAAAACACAGCCUAUCAGCUGUUAGUACAAUUUCACCUUGCAAUAUUUUGGGGGGUAAAUGACUAACUAAAGAUAUUAUUUCUCAUAUGGUAUAACUUGAGUGAAAAAUGAAAUCCUGUGAGAAAAUCCUAGGCCAAAUGUCUUUUUAGCUAACUGGCAGUGCUGCUGUUAAUUUAGAAGUUGUAGUGUAAUUAAACUGUGUAAGAUGCCAAAUGUGUUUGUGUUCACUUCUCUGCUCCCACCCUGUAAUACCGGGGCCCAUCUCCCGACAGCACUGUUAACGCUGGGUUAUUUCCUUAUACACCCACAGUUGUCCAAGAUGGCGUCAUUGUUUGAUAAUCAUUAUAAACACCUGCUUAGGGAGUAGAAAAAGCACAUAUUAUUCGCUCUAUCAUCUCUAUCAUUUCAUUUGUUUUCCAAAUGCUUUAUUUUAAGCUCUGACAAGGUCCAGUUGUAAUUCAUGGCGAUGGACUUCAUAUCCUUGGAUUUUGGAUGCCUCUGUUGUACACACAGAUUUGUGGUCAUAUUUUUCACACACAACCCAGUCCCCUUCUAAUAAGUUACACCAAUCAUUUAUGAAGAUGCUAUCGCUGGCUGGCCAAGGGGGAGUGGAUCAUCAACUAAUUAAUGGUCUUCCAGACGUCCCUUUUUUUCUAUUGGUGACAUUGAUCAGAGUUGUUGAAUUGUGCCGUAGUGCAUUAGUGAUAUUACCAGAGAGUGGUUAUCGGACCUGAUCAAAUCAGCGGAAGCAGGCGAUAUUUGGAAACUAGGGUAACCAUAAUUGUGCCUAUGAUGCUAGUUAAUACCACACCAUAACUGCUGUAUCA
rnacentral:lncRNA from 1 species